rnacentral:rRNA from 1 species
UACGUAGGGUGCUAGCGUUGUUCGGAAUUACUGGGCGUAAAGCGCGCGUAGGCGGCUUUAUAAGUCAGGGGUGAAAUCCCACAGCUUAACUGUGGAACUGCCUUUGAAACUGUAAAGCUUGAGUAUCGGAGGGGAUAGCGGAAUUGCUAAUGUAGAGGUGAAAUUCGUAGAUAUUAGCAGGAACACCGGUGGCGAAGGCGGCUAUCUGGACGACAACUGACGCUGAGGCGCGAAAGCGUGGGGAUCAAACAGG